GCCUGGGUGGCUCAGUCGGUUGAGCGUCCGACUUCGGCUCAGGUCGCAAUCUCAUGGUUCGUGAGUUCAAGCCCCGCGUCAGGCU
rnacentral:tRNA from 1 species